UGUAUCUCCCUGUCGUUGUUUUUCUCACGUACAGCCGGCGUGGGUUAAAGUUAACUUUUAACUGACGUUACGCUGGUCAAGCAGAGGUCAGCUGAAACAGCGAGCUGUGAACAGGGAUCGGCUAUAAUAGUUAAAAAAUAAAAGUCAGCAGUCAUAGCUAACGUUUCAUGUGGCAAACGAUGGCAGAGAGAAACAGAUUCAGCUGCACUUCUGGAGUCUCAAGUGAACUUUGUUUUUCAGAUAAGGUUCUUGGCAUUGUUCAAUCUACUACAUAUAAAGAGAGUCAUAAAAGUUUUAUGAACCAUCGGAAAUUAUUAGGAAAUUAUCAAUCCGUCCCCAGAUCAUCUGAGGCGACAUUCCCUUCAUGGAAACUGCUUUAUCAUCAUACCAUAGUUCUCCUUGAUUCACGUCACAUAUUCAACACAACAUUACAUUAUGUGAUGUAUUAUACAUCACAUAAUGCUGAUGGGACGAACAACACUGGUGCGUCAGCGCUGUGCCGAGUGCACAAGUGUGAAACCCCGUAUUGGUGCGUGUAUCGCUUUAACAAAAAAGUCAUGUGACCGAUACAGGAAGUGUGUCGUUUGGAUGUGCAGCGCCAAAUUGUGUUUAUAAGGAAACAAACUGUAUCGACGUGUUGCGUGUUUGUUGGAUGGAGAUUAAACUGUUUGCUGUGCUGUUGGAUUUUUUGUUUUGCUUCCAGUUCUCGAAAAUUUUCACAAGUCUGGAAUAAUUUUGAUCUUUUGACGCCAAAUAAGGUGAAGUGUCGGCUCUGCUCAACUGAAUUGUCUUCAAUCAAUACACAUCAAUCACAUCAAUAAGAGCACGUCAUCAAUGCUGAGGCAUUAUAGAGCUCGGCAUGGCAGUGAAGCGUUGGCAGACACUCCUGCUGUGAGUACCCCAGUUCCUAACAAGCAAGCAUUGGAUGAGGCUGUGAUCAACAUGAUCAUCAAAGACUGUCAGCCGCUCACCCUUGUAGAAAAUGAGGGAUUCAGGGCGCUCAUGCAGCUUGUUGCACCCUCAUAUGUUCUACCAAGCAGGAAGACGGUCAAGGACUUGGUGGGCCAGAAAUAUGAGGAAGAAAAGGAGAAAACAAAAAAGGACCUCCAGAGCGCCGUUGCUGUUACUUUAACAGCUGACACGUGGACCUCGAUUAAUAUGGAGGCAUAUCUUGCUGUUACUUGCCACUAUGUGGACAAAGACAGCCAUGAAAAACGAUUUGUAUUGCCCAUUCCAUCAAUUUAAUUGUAACAAAAUCAUGUGAUCAAAUUACAACACUAACAGAAAUCCGCAACAAAACACAGCAAAUUGUCACAUACUUUCGAUCAAGCACCACGGCCAAAGAAAAGCUCACUCAAAUGCAGCAACAGCUGGGAACACCAUUCCAUAAAUUAAUAAAUGAGGUGCCAACACGAUGGAACAGCACCUACCACAGAAUUUGAAGUCAUUGAAGAGAUGCUCAGGGUGCUCUCUCCUUUUGACCAAGCCACAAGAGAACUCUGAGGAAAAAAAGAGUCUCGGGGUCAAAGGUUAUUCCAUUGAUGAGAAUGAUCCACAUUGAGCUUCAACAUCAAGCCUCAACAUUAACAAAACCAGCUGCUCAAGAACUGGCUGAAAAUCUGAGAAAGCGGCUAACUGAGUCCAUCUGCAACGUGGAAUCACUCAGUGUGAUGACACUGGCAACACUGUUGGACCCCGGGUUUAAAACAGUUGGCUUCUUUAGUCCACUAAAAGCAACAGAAGCUGUUAAGAGACUGAAGUCGGAGUGUGCUGCUGAAAUGAGCCAUGAGCCUGACCCAGCAGAAGAACAGAGCUCUUCACAUGGAUCAGAACCCAGUUCAGAUAUGGAAGUUGAGGAGAACAGGAUGACCUCGAAUACUACAGCAGAUUCCACAGUUGACGUCCAUCGCUACUUGGCUGAAAGCAACACACCCAAAACACAAGACCCGUUACAAUAUUGGAAAAAUAACCAGAAAACGUAUCCACACCUUUAUCAACUGGCACUUAAAUAUUUAUGCACACCAUCUUCAUCUGUUUCCUGUGAAUGAGUAUUUUCUAAGGCAGGGGAACUGGUGUCCAAGAGGAGAAAUCGCCUUGGAGCAAAGACACUUCAAAAACUUUUGUUCCUCAAUAAAAAUGUAUGAAUGAA